GACGAACGCUGGCGGCGUGCUUAACACAUGCAAGUCGAACGAAGAGCGACGGAAGCUUGCUUCUAUCAAUCUUAGUGGCGAACGGGUGAGUAACGCGUAAUCAACCUGCCCUUCAGAGGGGGACAACAGUUGGAAACGACUGCUAAUACCGCAUACGAUCUAACCUCGGCAUCGAGGAUAGAUGAAAGGUGGCCUCUACAUGUAAGCUAGCACUGAAGGAGGGGAUUGCGUCUGAUUAGCUAGUUGGAGGGGUAACGGCCCACCAAGGCGAUGAUCAGUAGCCGGUCUGAGAGGAUGAACGGCCACAUUGGGACUGAGACACGGCCCAGACUCCUACGGGAGGCAGCAGUGGGGAAUCUUCCGCAAUGGACGAAAGUCUGACGGAGCAACGCCGCGUGAGUGAUGACGGCCUUCGGGUUGUAAAGCUCUGUUAAUCGGGACGAAAGGCCUUCUUGCGAAUAGUGAGAAGGAUUGACGGUACCGGAAUAGAAAGCCACGGCUAACUACGUG
rnacentral:rRNA from 1 species